UUCUCUUUCUAGAGCCUAAAUGCUUCUCUAUCUCAGUCCGUAACUCGCGCUGAACUGGUUGAUAAGCCUAAUUAAGAAGAAGAAACUCUCGCCGUAAAUCAUUGCUGAUUUCCUUCGUCUUUGCCUCAAUAAUAGUAGCAACGAGAUUCGAAUCUUCUAUCCAUCUUCAGAAAAGUUUCAAUUAUUGGGAAUUAGCUCAGGAUUUUGUUGCUAAAAAUCCUUGGUAUAUUAUUAAGAUUUUGAUUAAUUUUUGUGGAAGCCCUAAGAAUGGUGAUGUUAUUUUCGUAUCUAUUUGCACAAGGCUCCAAAAGAGUAGAAUUAGUUGGAUGGAUUUGUGAUACCGUCAGCAUUGUUGUCUUUGCUGCUCCUUUAAGCACAAGGUCAAUCAAAAUGAAUUUGGAACAACAGUUCUCAGUUUAAAGCUUAAAAUUUGAAAGAUUCGACGCGCGUGGAGGCCGAUUCGAGGGGCAAAGGUGUCG